UCCCUGGUGACUCAGUUGGUAAAGAAUCUGUCUGCAAUACAGGAGACCCAGGUUCAAUCCCUGGCUGGGGAA
rnacentral:tRNA from 1 species